UACGUAGGGGGCGAGCGUUAUCCAGAUUUACUGGGCGUAAAGCGCGUGUAGGCGGCUGGUUAGGUGUGAUGUGAAAUCCUGGAGCUCAACUCCAGAACUGCCUUCGAUACUGGAGAGCUCGAGUCCGGGAGAGGUGAGUGGAACUGCGAGUGUAGAGGUGAAAUUCGUAGAUAUUCGCAAGAACACCAGUGGCGAAGGCGGCUCACUGGCCCGAUACUGACGCUGAGGCACGAAAGCGUGGGGAGCAAACAGG
rnacentral:rRNA from 1 species